rnacentral:misc_RNA from 1 species
UACGGAGGGUGCAAGCGUUAAUCGGAAUUACUGGGCGUAAAGCGCACGUAGGCGGCCAAUUAAGCUGGAUGUGAAAGCCCAGGGCUCAACCUUGGAACUGCAUCCAGAACUGGUUGGCUAGAGUACAGUAGAGGGUGGUGGAAUUUCCUGUGUAGCGGUGAAAUGCGUAGAUAUAGGAAGGAACACCAGUGGCGAAGGCGGCCACCUGGACUGAUACUGACGCUGAGGUGCGAAAGCGUGGGGAGCAAACAGG